rnacentral:lncRNA from 1 species
UGGCUAUUUUAGGAGACCAGGGCAAGUGCAACACCAGCAACGGGCAAGAAGGCAAGAGAUGUUGCAGAGAGGCGAUGGUGGUGCAUCCCUCUGCGCUUGUCGCUGAGGGAGUUCCCACCAUCGCGACCCGGCCACAUCUCUUACGAAACGACACCAGAAAUGGCGAUGAGACAAGCGAGAGGCGUCGUAAAGACGCGGUGGUGGUGCAUGCCUGCGCGGCUCCGAAGAUGUUGCUGGAGGGUGCACUACCACCGCGUCCUUGCCACGGCUCUCAGCAGGGUGCAACAAAUCCAAAAAGAAUGGGAAGCUAAAUAUCUCAUUUUGGGUCCUUGGUUUUUCCCUUCAGUAACACUGGUUUGUUAGGGUAACCUCGGUCCCUGUGUUGCCGGAGCGUAGGAAGGACGCUUGCGGGGUGAGGACGCCCCCCACACGUGGCUCGCGGGUCCGUCCCGAAGGCGUGCGCGCUGGGGUAGUUAUCCCGCAGGCGGAGUGACUAGCCACUGCUGUUUGGUCCUAAGUCGGCACCGCGGGUCCGACCCGGGUCCCUAGUCUGGCCAAACAAGUAGUUGGCAAGUCCCCGGCUACGCAAGGCUAAAACACGAGAAGGACAGAGGCCCUCCUCGGCAAGCUAGUCUUAGGCAAAGAAGUAAGUAAAAAUAGCAUCGGAUAUAUAUUGAAGCUUGAGCAAAACGAGUUAACGAGUAACACUGAUAAUGACAAGGGAAAGCUAACAUAAAAAAAAAGGGUUCUAAGGCGCCACGCGCCACUUGCAGGAAACUAAAAAAAAAGAGAAGGAAGGAAACUACGCGGGAGGUGCUCCCGGGGCGGCUGCGUCGGUGUCAGGGGCAUCCUCAGCAUCGGGGGCUUCUCCAGCAACCUCCUCAGCAGCGGCUUCGUCUUCGUCGACCUUGCCCUGCAUCCGUGCCACCAUCUCGUCCACGACGCCCUGCACCGCCUCCCGGUGGGUCUUGGCCUCUUCCUCAUCCGACCAGGCGUCGAAGACCGACUCGAACGGGAAGUCGGGGUGGGCGGAGUGGACCCGGGUGAGAAUCUGCCCGACAACCUGCUCGGCCGCAAGGCCAACUUGCCAGUCCCC